rnacentral:tRNA from 1 species
UGUUCUGUUGUUUAGCUAGGUAAAGCGCCGGACUAGUGAUACGGAGUCGUGGGUUCAAGUCCCACCAGAUCAA